rnacentral:lncRNA from 1 species
UGAUGAGUCACGGCUUUUACCAUUUCCAAAAAUACCUGUUUUUUCCUGAACUUUUAGUUCUCUCUACCCUGAUCAGAAAAUUAAAAACAAAACAACAACACUUCGUGGACCAGCCCCGACAGCUGCCGUUCUGUUUUCUCCAGGCCAGCGCUGAGCAGAGCCGAGGUGGGGAGACCUGGGCAGUGCCAGGGCUGGCCCUGCUGCUGCUUCCUGGCUUCUGGACGGGGCUUCCUCUUGGCUCAGGGCCGGGGAAGCCCAGCCUCUGAACAAAGUUAGGGUCAAUAUCUGCAUCCCUGCCCUGGCCAGGCACCGCAUCUCACAUGGGAAAGACCUAUUUGUCCUUAAAUGGGAGAGGAGACGGAAUCCCAGAAGGGGGCAGUGACCCAACUAAGGUCAAAGGGCUGCCCCCGGGAAACCAGCCGCUUCUCAUCCCCAAGGCAGCCUGCCCGCCCUGGAGAGCCCGGGAUCCCCAGAUACUGUCGACGAAAGGGGCAGGGCCUGUGAGCGACGCUGGCCUUAGGCCUGGACUGCAAGGGGUGGCCCUGGCUAGAGAUGGGACUGCACACCCUUCCAGGCACCAUCCUGGGUGCCACCCUAAGGACCAAAUCCCCAGAAGCCAGGUGAGGACAUCGGAGAACCGGGCUGCUCCGUAGCAGACCCAUAGACCCUGAUGCAUGGCUGGGCACCCUGGCCUGUCCCAGAGCCUGCAGAAGGGCGGAAGCCUAGACAAACUCAUCCGCUUCUGCUGUCCCAAGAUGACUUUCAGCCCAGGUCAGCCCAGGUAAGUCCGUGUCCACCAGCUGCCCGGUCUGCUCUGGAGGCAGAGGCUUGCAGUUCCGGGAGACAGACCCGCCACCUGGCAGAGGUUGUGGGAGGCUUGUCACCGUUGGUUGGCCCCCUGGCACCUGCCUCUCCUCCCAGGGAGCAGGGAUGAGUCAGCUCCCUGGCCCUUGGACUUAGGAAGCCUCAGAUGGCUCUGAGAAGGCUCCUCCAGGGCUUCAGAGGCACCCUUAGAGGCUUAGAGUCUCCUGAAGAUGCGAGAUAGGCCUUUGCCCACCAGCCCAUCACAGAGCAGUGGCUCAUGCCUGUAAUCCCAGCAGUUUGGGAGGCUGAGGCGGGCGGAUCACCUGAGGUCAGGUGUUCGAGACCAGCCUGACCAACAUGGUGAAACCCCAUCUCUACUAAAAAUACAAAAGUUAGCCAGACAUGGUGGCAGGUGCCUGUAAUCCCAGCUACUUGGGAGGCUAAAGCAGGAGAAUCGCUGGAACUUGGGAGGUGGAGGUUGUAGUGAGCAGAGAUCACGCCAUUGCACUCCAGCCUGGGCGACAAGAGCAAAACUUCAUCUCAAAACAAACAAACAAAAAGGUAGAGGAAGGGAGAAUUAUCUCUCUGCCUGACUGCUUGAGAGGUGGCACCUUCUCCUGUCCUCCAGCUGGGACUUGAACCCACAGCCCCACUCAUGUGCAGGCCUUCAACUCAAACUGGAACCACAACACCGGCUCUCCUAGGUCUCUGGCUUGCAGAUGGCAGAUCGUGAGGCUUUUCAGCUUCCAAAAUCAUGUGAGCCAACUCCUCAGAAUAAACUUCUCUCUUUCUCUCAUGUAACCACACACAUAUAAACAUGCAUGUGCGUGUUUUCCUGCCCUCUCAUCUCUGCUCCGUUGACUUAUUUCGCUAUUCCUGCUUCAUUUACUCUAGUUUUCUUAGGCAUGUCCAUUAACGCAGCUUGUCCUUCUUCGCU